rnacentral:rRNA from 1 species
GACGAACGCUGGCGGCGUGCCUAAUACAUGCAAGUCGAGCGGACGGAUGGGAGCUUGCUCCCAGACCGUCAGCGGCGGACGGGUGAGUAACACGUGGGCAACCUGCCUGUAAGACUGGGAUAACUCCGGGAAACCGGGGCUAAUACCGGAUAACUCUUUCCCUCACAUGAGGGAAAGCUGAAAGAUGGCAUCUCGCUAUCACUUACAGAUGGGCCCGCGGCGCAUUAGCUAGUUGGUGAGGUAACGGCUCACCAAGGCGACGAUGCGUAGCCGACCUGAGAGGGUGAUCGGCCACACUGGGACUGAGACACGGCCCAGACUCCUACGGGAGGCAGCAGUAGGGAAUCCUCCGCAAUGGACGAAAGUCUGACGGAGCAACGCCGCGUGAGUGAUGAAGGUUUUCGGAUCGUAAAACUCUGUUGUCAGGGAAGAACAAGUACCGGAGUAACCGCCGGUACCUUGACGGUACCUGACCAGAAAGCCACGGCUAACUACGUG